rnacentral:rRNA from 1 species
ACCGGAUAGGACGAAAGUUUAAAGGUGCUUCUGGCACCGCUGAUGGAUGAGCCUGCGGCGCAUUAGCUAGUUGGUAGGGUAAAGGCCUACCAAGGCGACGAUGCGUAGCCGACCUGAGAGGGUGAACGGCCACACUGGGACUGAGACACGGCCCAGACUCCUACGGGAGGCAGCAGUAGGGAAUCUUCGGCAAUGGGCGAAAGCCUGACCGAGCAACGCCGCGUGAAUGAUGAAGGCCUUCGGGUUGUAAAAUUCUGUUAUAAGGGAAGAACGACUUUAGUAGGAAAUGGCUAGAGUGUGACGGUACCUUAUGAGAAAGCCACGGCUAACUACGUGCCAGCAGCCGCGGUAAUACGUAGGUGGCGAGCGUUAUCCGGAAUUAUUGGGCGUAAAGAGCGCGCAGGUGGUUGAUUAAGUCUGAUGUGAAAGCCCACGGCUUAACCGUGGAGGGUCAUUGGAAACUGGUCGACUUGAGUGCAGAAGAGGGAAGUGGAAU